UACGUAGGGUGCGAGCGUUAAUCGGAAUUACUGGGCGUAAAGCGUGCGCAGGCGGUUUUGUAAGCCAGAUGUGAAAUCCCCGGGCUUAACCUGGGAAUGGCAUUUGGGACUGCAAGGCUUGAGUGCGGCAGAGGAGACUGGAAUUCCUGGUGUAGCAGUGAAAUGCGUAGAUAUCAGGAGGAAUACCGGUGGCGAAGGCGGUUCUCUGGGCAUUACCUGACGCUGAGGAGCGAAAGCGUGGGGAGCAAACAGG
rnacentral:rRNA from 1 species